CGUCUUGAAACACGGACCAAGGAGUCUAGCAUGUGCGCGAGUCAUUGGGAAUCACUAAACCUAAAGGCGCAAUGAAAGUGAAGGCCCGCCUAGUGCGGGCCGAGGGAAGAUGGGCGGUUACGGUUUCCGUGCCGCUCCGCACUCCCGGGGCGUCUCGUUCUCAUUGCGAGAAGAGGCGCACCAAGAGCGUACACGCUGGGACCCGAAAGAUGGUGAACUAUGCCUGGUCAGGACGAAGUCAGGGGAAACCCUGAUGGAGGUCCGUAGCGAUUCUGACGUGCAAAUCGAUCGUCGGAACUGGGUAUAGGGGCGAAAGACUAAUCGAACCAUCUAGUAGCUGGUUCCCUCCGAAGUUUCCCUCAGGAUAGCUGGCGCUCGUCGCCUACGAGUCUCAUCCGGUAAAGCGAAUGAUUAGAGGCAUUGGGGUCGAAACGGCCUCAACCUAUUCUCAAACUUUAAAUGGGUGAGAUCUCCGGCUUGCUCGAACUUAUGAAGCCGCGAGACACGGAUCAGAGUGCCAAGUGGGCCAUUUUUGGUAAGCAGAACUGGCGCUGUGGGAUGAACCAAACGCCGAGUUAAAGCGCCUAAAUCGACGCUUAUGGGAUACCAUGAAAGGCGUUGGUAACUUAAGACAGCAGGACGGUGGCCAUGGAAGUCGGAAUCCGCUAAG
rnacentral:rRNA from 1 species